rnacentral:lncRNA from 1 species
UUUUUUAUGUGUGAGCCCAGCAGACAGCCAGACACCAUGACGGGUUCAAGAAUAUGAAGCUGAGGUCCAGCUUGCAGCUAAGCGGAUGCUGGCACUGGAAAAGAGGUGUGGCCGCUGCGCCGGUCUGAAGCUCAUUAGAUGUCUACUUGCGUGAGGCAGUGAGGUGCCUGGAAGCAAACCCAGCCAAAAGAAAGAGGCAACCAGUGAAGUCCUAUUUUAGGAACAAUGUUUCCCUAAAUAAGGACUGUUUUCCUAAAAGCUCUCAUAAGAUGUUGGAGACACAAGAAACAGGACUCGAGGGUCUCAUCCAAUGAGAUGACGGGCAGUGGUCACGACAGCCUUCAGGCAGAGCAGCAGGUGCACUGAGCAGACUUGAUGCGGGAGACAGUGCCAAGUUGAAACACUUCAUGCAGCAUGUGGGAACUGCAGUUGCAGUUUCCAAGAACCAUGGACGAUGUUGAGUCGUUCCACCUCCCCUUCCGCCUGGGACUCCGUACAGAGCCUCACAUCAUCCUACCAGUGUUGACCUGACAUUGACCCACCAGAGAGUCUACGCGUUCUCGCGUAAGGCGACAUGAGCUUCACUUCAGGGAGCACAGUUAGUGCUCUGGCUUAGAAUCUGUUAGAAUUCUGGCUUGUUAUGUUUCUAGCAUCUAGAGUCUUGCUGCAUCUUGACAGGCACUCAUGUUCAGGCUUCCUUCAUUUCUUACAAAACAGGGACUUGAUACAAACUUGGGUUUGGGACAUGUUCUUACUAAUGGACCAAAGGAUAACAUCAGUAGCACCAGGUACCUCUUCUACACCAUAUGCAUCAUAUACAUCAUCUCAGUUAAUCUUCAAUAACCUUGUAAGGAUGAGACUUGAACCUUCAUUUGACAGAGGAGGAACCUAACGCUCAGAGAGGGAGACCUCCACGGACAAAGGCUUAGGAGAGUUCCUGAUGUCUUUUCUUCUCCACUGCUGGGUGGUGAUGUUAUCCAUUCAAGAAGAUAAAAAUCAUAGAAUAUAAAGACUGAAUCAAUCUUGGAGAUACUUUAUUCUGGCUUUCUUCUUUCUAUAGAUAAGCCAGCUUAGGUCUCUGAAAGGUUAUCCAAAAUCAGGCACACAUGAUUGAGAGCAAAACAGGAACCACAACGCAAGACUUCUGGCUCUUCUACGACAGCAACUGAAAGCAACAGUGAACAUUACUUCAUUUAUGGUGUAAUAAAACCAACUUCAAAGUCCA